rnacentral:rRNA from 1 species
AUUGAACGCUGGCGGCAUGCCUUACACAUGCAAGUCGAACGGUAACGCGGGGCAACCUGGCGACGAGUGGCGAACGGGUGAGUAACGCAUCGGAACGUACCCAGUAGUGGGGGAUAGCCCGGCGAAAGCCGGAUUAAUACCGCAUACGACCUACGGGUGAAAGCGGGGGAUCGCAAGACCUCGUGCUAUUGGAGCGGCCGAUGUCAGAUUAGGUAGUUGGUGGGGUAAAGGCCUACCAAGCCUACGAUCUGUAGCUGGUCUGAGAGGACGACCAGCCACACUGGGACUGAGACACGGCCCAGACUCCUACGGGAGGCAGCAGUGGGGAAUUUUGGACAAUGGGCACAAGCCUGAUCCAGCCAUGCCGCGUGCGGGAAGAAGGCCUUCGGGUUGUAAACCGCUUUUGUCAGGGAAGAAACGCUCUGGGCUAAUACCCCGGGGUAAUGACGGUACCUGAAGAAUAAGCACCGGCUAACUACGUGCCAGCAGCAGCCGCAGUAA